rnacentral:tRNA from 1 species
GCGGGUGUAGUUCAGUGGUAGAAUGUCUCCUUCCCAAGGAGAAGAUCGCGAGUUCGAGUCUCGUCACCCGCUCCA